UUCAGGUUGAUUGAUGCAUACUACAUAUGGGGAGCUAGUGAGGAGUACUACAUAGCUUAGUUUAGUAGUCAUUAUGUUUUAUAUUUCCCUUUGUCUUAGUUGAAACAAUAAAUUUUUAUUUAUCAAUAAAGAGAAGUUAUUUUUAUUAAUUCCGCUGCAUUGUUAAUUUAGUAGUUAGUAGUUUUAGCCUUUAACGUUAUCACGUGGCGGUAAUACUCUCAAGUUUCUCAAGUGCCUCUUUCUCUUCAGAUCUCACGCCCUCCUCUCUCUCCUUCUCUUUCCUCUCACUCCUUCUCUUUCCUCUCUCGCUCUCUCAGCCGUUCUCUCAUCCUCCACCGCUUCGGCGCCUUAAACCGAAGUUUUCAGCAUCCAUGUUCGCAGUCUUCAUGUUUUCAGCCUCAAGUUCGCCGCCUUCAACAACCCGCAAGACGAGAGAAAGGGGUCCGAAGGAGAGAAGUAAAUCGAAGGUGAGAGAGAAAAGGGUUGGUGUCGCGUGAAGGUUCGUCGGCGUCGCGCGAAAGUUCGUUGGAGAAUGUCGACGAUGGCUGGUUUCAUCACGCCGAUUUUGUUGGUUUUUAUUCGGUUGCUUUUUCCGGCUUCCAAAGCCUCGCACCAGAAAUUCUCCUGAGGCUAUCUACUGGGUCAACAAGGUUGUGCUUUUGGAAAUUCAACGAGGCUAUCUAUUGGGUCAAUAAGGCUGGCAUAUGUUUUUUUUUAUUCAAAUGUUAGGGUUUUUUAUUUUUUUGGAAUGAAUUUUAUGUUAGAGUUCAUGAAUUUGUAAUUUCGAUUUUGAUAUGAAUGUGGUGAAUGAAUUUGUUUUAGCAUGCAGUAGAUUGUUGUAGCUGUGUUUGUAUUAUAAUUGUACAAUAACUACAAAAAUUUUACACUUUGAGAAA